UUCCUCUUCUUAAAUCUUAAACAUAUCUUUCCCGUAAUUAGUACUAUUUCUCAGCUAUCUUUGCAUGUUUUGCUCUAACUUUCCUCGACAUUUAGUCUAACACCUAUCUUUGCUGCAUGCUCGCAAUCGGUUCGGUAACACGCGUCGCGCGUCAUGCGGCAGCGCCCCUCGGUCAGUUGGGUGGAAGGAGAGGCUGCGUUUGUUCCGCGCCUGGGUUCCGCGCGUAACAGGCUUCGGCUUGGUGUCGCAUGGGCCACUUGAUGGUGCAGUCAUUGCCCAUCAACGUCCAGACAAAAGUAGGCGGAAAGGAGCUGGUCACCCGAGGCAUACACCGCUGGAACCAGGAAGUCAGUUCUUAAUGCCAAAGUUCAUUGUCUUUUCCGUCUGAAAUAUGAAAUUUCACAGUUUAAUCCACGGCCAAUGAUCCGUGCGGUAUGAAAUCGUAUUGUAACAGCUGAAAGGGUAUAUAAGAGCAAAGAAUUUAGCAGAUAUCAGAAUCGCCCAAACAUGAAGCUGGUACUGUUUGUCCUCGUCGCAUACCUGACCCUAAGCCAAGCACUUAUACUGCUGCCGUCUUGAAUACACAGUUAAAUUAUCUUAUCUUGAACUUGAGAACUUGAGAACUUGAAAACUU